rnacentral:lncRNA from 1 species
AAUGGUAAACAUAAGUAAAAUUGUUUAAUUAUUGAAUGAUUAAUCUCAAAUUACUAAUGCUCAAAUGUUAGAGUAACAAAAGUAAGCGAAUCUUAUAAUCUAGUUUGACCUUUUAACUACAAGUCUUGGUUUCUUAUGUUUCCUAAACAAUCAAAAUAACAAAACAAUAUCCAAUAGUAAUGUUAGUUUCAAAGACAUACACAUAAUCAACAAAUAGCAAUAGCUAAUAUUAAAAAAUGAGAGGAGGGGAGAUUUUAACUCUUGAUAUUGGGCUCGUUAGUAGUCAAGCUCAUCCGGAUUCAAACAAGCAGCAGACUCAACAAGUGCAGAGGAAGUGACCCAGACCUGGAACUUGGGUUUGAUUUCCAAAGGAACUUGCCAGACUCAAUUCGGACAUGCAUACAAAAGAAAAGAAGAUAAUUAGUGGAGAUCAAUUUAAGGUGAAAUAAGAUAAAGUCAUAACGACUAAUAAUAAUAAAGACACUCAAGAAUACAGUAAAAUUAGCUUUAUUUGUACCAACCCUAUGAGUAUUAAUUAAAGUCAAUGACCAAAGGCUUGGAGUAAACCUCAUUUUAUGGAUAAAGUCCCCUAUGGACCCCUGAUACUUCAGAGUUCACAAGGGUCACAUAGACCCCAAGUAAAGCUUUCGUCAGGGAGGGGUAGCUCAACCACAAAUCAAGCUCAUACCUAAAUACCCUUGAUUAUCAACUCUCACUCUUCCUAAAAGGUUUGGACACAAAUAUAAUGUCAACUUAGUAGUUUCACAUUGUUAGAAGUAAAUACAUAGCCACAUUAGACAUUGCAAUUAUCAUUAGAGCAUAAUCAGCUAAGAAGCAACACAAUAUUGACCUUAGGACAUCUUAUCAGAAUAAUAAGUACAAAGAUAAAUCAUUGUAGGUAGAUUUAUAGGGUUCCAAUAACAUCAAAGACCUUAAGGCUGAUCAUAGUAUGCAUCAGAACACUUAAGAGGAUCAUUAAUAAAAUGCGGUCAUAGAACAAAGAGAGCUAGUUGCAUAUUAUCAGUAGAUAGGUGUUAUCUUUAACCACUUCAAGUUCAUAGAUGCCUUAUUUAUGUGAUCUAAGCAUCAGUAAGUGACAAAGAACGAUAUGUUCACAGCUUUAUUAAUUCUAUUGAAGGUUCAGCAUUUCAGGAUCCUUGAAUAUGUUCAUGCCACUUAAAACAGGUCAGCAUGCAUUUCAAUAAUCUUCAGAACAGUCUAGAGCAAGCAUGCAUAUGUGUGUGUGUGUAUAUAUAUAUAUAACUGAGACCCCUACUACACUAGACACUUAUAUUAACAACCGUGUUCAGGCUUCCCAAAUUAUCAAUCCGCUAAACCAGCAGAGAUAUCAAUGCAUGUAGGAAAGUUAGUUUUAAUUUUGUUUGGACCUAACGAGGAUGAUAUCUAGUUGUGAUAAUGUAUAGUCUAACAGUUUUUCAAUUUGCAAGAUCCAAAUAUCACUCCAGUUCAUGAUUAAGUUCUUCUAUACAUAGUGAUGUCAACUGACACGAGUCAGUAAGUAGAGAUGUUCAUUCUCAUUUGAUUCAAGCAGGACAAUCAGAUCACAACAAGUUCAUUUACACAUGUAAGUAAUUUUACUAACAAGUUACACCAACAAACCAUUUUGGAUCCUACUGGCAUAGUACAUGUUCAACAUCAUUCAAUCAAGCUAUUAGGUUACCAGAGUGAACAAUUACCCAUAUUGACAAAAGAAGUCUUCUCAAAUAGUGUCUUAGACACCACAUGAUCAUGAAAGAUCCAAAAACAUAAAUGGUCAAAACCAAACAGAUAGAUGAAUGUAGAUCAUCAUUUAGUAGGACUACUGUGGCACCCUAAGUUAAGAUGUACCCACACCUUCACUAAAUUAUUAUGAUGACAUCCAAACCAUUAUCAAUAUAGACCAAGCAUGACUACGAUCUAAGGUUCUUUAGCUAAACAAUCGGAUAAUCAUAAUGAGAUAGGCACUACCAUUAGGGUAGAUUAACAGGAGGCUGCAAGAAAAUCAACAUGGUAACUUAAACAUAAAGUUCUCUUAGAUAAGGGCAUGCAAUGGUUCCUAAGCACUACUGGAUCAGCAAAAACAAUAUGAUAAGUGUAUAUAUAAGCAUAGAGGUCAAGCAGGAGUCAUUCAAUCAAUGCAAUAGUAUAAGUCACAUAUAGCUACUAACACGGAGCUCAAACAGUCAUGAGAUAGUGAAUGAUGAUAGGAAGUGGACAAGUUUAGUGAUAGCUAUGCUAACAAGUUCACCACAUAAUUUAAAACUAUAGUGAUAAACAUCCAUGAAUCACUUAUCAACAACAAGAUUGUUAGCUAAGGUCAGUAAAGCAGACAUAUCAAAUAUAAGACAGGAUUUGCAAUGAGAAUCAUUCAUUGGACCAAGACAAGGAAACUCAACUUCAUAGGCAUGAAGAUCAAGAUAACAUAUUACUGGAGAUAUGAAACCUUAACAGGACAUUAGGAAGAAUUCAAGAACAUAAUUCAAUUGAUUUAGCUGACAUGAUAGUGUUCAUACGGCAGUCAUCAAACUAAUAGGGGUGAAUCAAACAUAAAAUCAACAUAAGGGUCAAUUCAACUAAUCAUGGAAGACUUAGCAGGAUUUAUCCAUUAGAAUAGCAUCGGUGUAGAAAUAUCUUAACUAACUAAAUCAUGAGAAGUAAAAUUCAAUAACCAUAACAGAUUAAGUAACAUAGUACAACUAUCAUGAAAUGUCAUUAAUCACAUGAAUAGCUAGACAUAAUGAAAGCCUCGUAUUAUUAUGAACAAACAAGUGAUUAUUGACAGAUGAUGAUAACAAGAAAGUAAAAAUCAGAAGAAAAAGAGGGGAAACCAUUGUAAGAUUUUUACCUUAGCCCGAUGGGAGGAGAAGGUCAACCAUUGGAGUACUGAAGAAAUAUCGGUUAGAGCUCCAUAUCCUAAGGUCACGGUGUUUGACCUCUGGACAACAUAUGAUGAUUAUGAGGUAGAAGACAUGGUCAUGCAUGCUUCGAUUUGAUCGGAUAGGGGGAUGAUGAAUAAAAUCCCAGAUUGCACUUUUUAGGUCUAGGGUUCUGGGGUUUGUGAUUUGAAUCGGAGUGAUGAGAAAGGAAAGGAAUCGGCAAGAUUCGCGGUUAGAAGGGACAGAAGGGGUGAUUUGGGUUUGAUUUUGUGCAAGGUUUUGGAUUGAUGGGUUUGCAGGGUUUGAGAGAACAGGGGAAGAAAUAGGAAAUGAGGACGGCCACUUGGUGAUAGAAUGAUUAGAGUUAGAGGCAUCUCUAAGGUUAAAAACAAGAGAUGCAAUGUGAG